rnacentral:rRNA from 1 species
UGGGGAAUCUUGCGCAAUGCGCGAAAGCGUGACGCAGCAAUGCCGCGUGGGGGAAGAAGGCCUUCGGGUUGUAAACCUCUUUCAGGAGGGACGAAGCUGCGGCGGCGAAUAGCCGACCGUAGUGACGGUACCUCCAGAAGAAGCCCCGGCUAACUACGUGCCAGCAGCCGCGGUAAUACGUAGGGGGCAAGCGUUGUCCGGAAUCAUUGGGCGUAAAGCGCACGUAGGCGGCCCGGUAAGUCCGUUGUGAAAGUCAGAGGCUCAACCUCUGGAGGCCAAUGGAUACUGCCGGGCUAGAGUCCGGAAGAGGCGAGUGGAAUUCCUGGUGUAGCGGUGGAAUGCGCAGAUAUCAGGAGGAACACCAAUGGCGAAGGCAGCUCGCUGGGACGGUACUGACGCUGAGGUGCGAAAGCGUGGGGAGCGAACAGGAUUAGAUACCCCCGUAGUCC